rnacentral:rRNA from 1 species
GACGAACGCUGGCGGCGUGCCUAAGACAUGCAAGUCGAGCGGGCCAGUCCGGAAGGGCUGGUCAGCGGCAGACGGGUGAGUAACACGUGGGUAACCUGCCCGCUGCAGUGGGAUAACAGCCCGAAAGGGCUGCUAAUACCGCAUAAGCUCACGGGUGCGGGGGCACCUGGGAGAAAAGGGGCGCCGGAGAGGGGCCCCGGCAGCGGAGGGGCCCGCGGCCCAUCAGGUAGUUGGCGGGGUAAGGGCCCACCAAGCCUGCGACGGGUAGCCGGCCUGA